rnacentral:rRNA from 1 species
CCUACGGGAGGCAGCAGUGAGGAAUAUUGGUCAAUGGGCGCGAGCCUGAACCAGCCAAGUCGCGUGAGGGAUGAAGGUUCUAUGGAUCGUAAACCUCUUUUAUAAGGGAAGAAAGGGGGGGACGUGUCCUAUUUUGUAUGUACCUUAUGAAUAAGGAUCGGCUAACUCCGUGCCAGCAGCCGCGGUAAUACGGAGGAGUCGAGCGUUAUCCGGAUUUAUUGGGUUUAAAGGGUGCGUAGGCGGCCUUUUACGUCAGCGGUGAAAGUCUGUGGCUCAACCAUAGAAUUGCCGUUGAAACUGGGGGGCUUGAGUGUGUGAGAGGCAGGCGGAAUGCGUGGUGUAGCGGUGAAAUGCUUAGAUAUCACGCAAAACCCCGAUUGCGAAGGCAGCCUACCAAGCCAUGACUGACGCUGAGGCACGAAAGCGUGGGGAUCGAACAGGAUUAGAUACCCUAGUAGUC